rnacentral:rRNA from 1 species
AUUGAACCUACAUGUGUAGGAUAGGUGGGAGGCUUUGAAGGCGUGACGCCAGUUGCGCUGGAGCCGUCCUUGAAAUACCACCCUUGUAUGUUUGAUGUUCUAACGCAGGGCCCUGAAUCGGGUUCGCGGACAGUGCCUGGUGGGUAGUUUGACUGGGGCGGUCUCCUCCCAAAGAGUAACGGAGGAGCACGAAGGUUGGCUAAUCCUGGUCGGACAUCAGGAGGUUAGUGCAAUGGCAUAAGCCA